AUUGAACGCUGGCGGCAGGCCUAACACAUGCAAGUCGAACGAGUGGCGGACGGGUGAGUAAUGUCUGGGAAACUGCCUGAUGGAGGGGGAUAACGACUGGAAACGGUAGCUAAGAACGCAGACCAUGCGAUGUGCCCAGAUGGGAUUAGCUUGUUGGUUGGGUAACUGCUCACCAAGGCGACGAGCCCUAGCUGGUCUGAGAGGAUGACCAGCCACACUGGAACGUAGACACGGUCCAGACUCCUACGGGAGGCAGCAUUGGGGAAUAUUGCACAAUUGGCGCAAGCCUGAUGCAGCCAUGCCGCGUGUAUGAAGAAGGCCUUCGGGUUGUAAAGUACUUUCAGCGGGGAGGCGUUACCCGCAUCUGAAGCACCGGCUAACUCCGUGCCAGCAGCCGCGGUAAUAC
rnacentral:rRNA from 1 species